AAGCCUUCGGGCGGAACAUGUUUAACUUAGUGGCGGACGAGUGAGUAACGCGUGAGCAACCUGCCUUACAGAGGGGGACAACAGUUGGAAACGACUGCUAAUACCGCAUGAAGUGCCGGGGAGGCAUCUCCCUGAUACCAAAGAUUUAUCGCUGUAAGAUGGGCUCGCGUCCGAUUAGAUAGUUGGUGAGGUAACGGCUCACCAAGUCGACGAUCGGUAGCCGGACUGAGAGGUUGAACGGCCACAUUGGGACUGAGAUACGGCCCAGACUCC
rnacentral:rRNA from 1 species